rnacentral:lncRNA from 1 species
GACCCGACGGACGUGUGCCGUCCUUGUUUGGGUCUUGGUCAGUUCCUAUUUUUUUUUGUUUUUGGUUAUAUCAAUUUCAUUUUUAUUUAACAAAUAUUAUCCAAUCAUAUAACAUAAAGUAACUAAACUCAGGCCUUAUUUAGUUCGUGAAAAAUUUUAGUUUUAGCUACUGUAGCACUUUCGUUUGUAUGUGAUAAUUAUUAUCCAAUUACAGAGUAACUGGACUCAAAAAAUUUGUCCCACAAAUUACAGAUAAACUGUAUAAUUAAUUUUUAUUUAUAUUUAUAUUUAAUGUUUCAUGCAUGCAUAUAAAGAUUUGAUGUGACAGGAAAUCUUGAAAAAUUUUGGGAACUAAACAAAGCCUCAAAAGAUUCAUCUCGCGAUUUACCGUCAAACUGUGCAACUAACUUUUAUUUUUGUCUAUAUUUAAUAUUUCAUGCAUGUGCAAUAAGAUUCUAUGUGACGAGAAAUUUUGAAAAUGUUUAGAUAAUUUUUAAAAACUAAAUACUUCAAGAUUCUAUGUCGUAUAGAAUUUUAUGGCAUAUACUUACUUUAGGACUUGUUUAAUUGCAAAAGAAAUUACAAAAUAAAUACUAUAACAAUUUUAUUUAUAUUUAAUAAAUAUUAUUUAAUUAUUAACUAACUAGUCUUUAAAAGUUCAUUUUGUAAAUUAGAGUAUACCGCAAGAUUAUAUGCGACAGUCUAAAAAUUUUUAGGGCGUGUUUGG